rnacentral:rRNA from 1 species
UACCAUGCAAGUCGAGCGAGACCUUCGGGUCUAGCGGCGGACGGGUUAGUAACGCGUGGGAACGUCCCCUUUUCUACGGAAUACCCUCGGGAAACUGAGAGUAAUACCGUAUACCCCCUUUGGGGGAAAGAUUUCUCAGAAAAAGAUCGCCCCGCGUUAUAUUAUAUAUGUGGGGGGGUAGUGCCCUACCAACUCUACUAUCUAUAUCUGGUUUGAGAGGAUGAUCAGCAACUCUGGGACUGACACACGGCCCACACUCCUACGGGAGGCAGCAGUGGGGAAUCUUACACAAUGGGCGCAAGCCUGAUCUACCCAUGCCGCGUGAGUGAUGAAGGCCUUAGGGUCGUAAAGCUCUUUCCCCUGUGAAGAUAAUGACUGUAGCAGGUAAAGAAACCCCGGCUAACUCCGUGCCAGCACCCGCGGUAAUACGGAGGGGGUUAGCGUUGUUCGGAAUUACUGGGCGUAAAGCGCGCGUAGGCGGACUAUUAAGUCAGAGGUGAAAUCCCGGGGCUCAACCCCGGAACUGCCUUUGAUACUGGUAGUCUUGAGUUCGAGAGAGGUGAGUGGAAUUCCGAGUGUAGAGGUGAAAUUCGUAGAUAUUCAGAGGAACACCAGUGGCGAAGGCGGCUCACUGGCUCGAUACUGACGCUGAGGUGCGAAAGUGUGGAGAGCAAACAAGAUUAUAUACCCUGGUAGUCCACACCGUNACGAUGAAUGCCAGACGUCGGGCAGUAUACUGUUCGGUGUCACACCUAACGGAUUAAGCAUUCCGCCUGGAGAGUACGGU